GUAGGGCGGGACACGUGGUAUCCUGUCUGAAUAUGGGGGGACCAUCCUCCAAGGCUAAAUACUCCUGACUGACCGAUAGUGAACCAGUACCGUGAGGGAAAGGCGAAAAGAACCCCGGCGAGGGGAGUGAAAAAGAACCUGAAACCGUGUACGUACAAGCAGUAGGAGCCCACUAGUUGGGUGACUGCGUACCUUUUGUAUAAUGGGUCAGCGACUUAUAUUCUGUAGCAAGGUUAACCGUAUAGGGGAGCCGCAGGGAAACCGAGUCUUAACUGGGCGUUAAGUUGCAGGGUAUAGACCCGAAACCCGGUGAUCUAGCCAUGGGCAGGUUGAAGGUUGGGUAACACUAACUGGAGGACCGAACCGACUAAUGUUGAAAAAUUAGCGGAUGACUUGUGGCUGGGGGUGAAAGGCCAAUCAAACCGGGAGAUAGCUGGUUCUCCCCGAAAGCUAUUUAGGUAGCGCCUCGUGAACUCAUCUUCGGGGGUAGAGCACUGUUUCGGCUAGGGGGUCAUCCCGACUUACCAACCCGAUGCAAACUACGAAUACCGAAGAAUGUUAUCACGGGAGACACACGGCGGGUGCUAACGUCCGUCGUGAAGAGGGAAACAACCCAGACCGCCAGCUAAGGUCCCAAAGUCAUGGUUAAGUGGGAAACGAUGUGGGAAGGCCCAGACAGCCAGGAUGUUGGCUUAGAAGCAGCCAUCAUUUAAAGAAAGCGUAAUAGCUCACUGGUCGAGUCGGCCUGCGCGGAAGAUGUAACGGGGCUAAACCAUGCACCGAAGCUGCGGCAGCGACGCUUAUGCGUUGUUGGGUAGGGGAGCGUUCUGUAAGCCGUUGAAGGUGGCCUGUGAGGGUUGCUGGAGGUAUCAGAAGUGCGAAUGCUGACAUAAGUAACGAUAAUGCGGGUGAAAAACCCGCACGCCGGAAGACCAAGGGUUCCUGUCCAACGUUAAUCGGGGCAGGGUGAGUCGACCCCUAAGGCGAGGCCGAAAGGCGUAGUCGAUGGGAAACAGGUUAAUAUUCCUGUACUCGGUGUUACUGCGAAGG
rnacentral:rRNA from 1 species